rnacentral:rRNA from 1 species
CCUACGGGAGGCAGCAGUGGGGAAUAUUGCACAAUGGGGGAAACCCUGAUGCAGCGACGCCGCGUGAGUGAAGAAGUAUUUCGGUAUGUAAAGCUCUAUCAGCAGGGAAGAAAAUGACGGUACCUGAUUCAGAAGCCCCGGCUAACUACGUGCCAGCAGCCGCGGUAAUACGUAGGGGGCAAGCGUUAUCCGGAUUUACUGGGUGUAAAGGGAGCGUAGACGGCAGCACAAGUCUGGAGUGAAAUGCCGGGGCUUAACCCCGGAACUGCUUUGGAAACUGUGCAGCUAGAGUGCAGGAGAGGUAAGUGGAAUGCCUAGUGUAGCGGUGAAAUGCGUAGAUAUUAGGAGGAACACCAGUGGCGAAGGCGGCUUACUGGACUGUAACUGACGUUGAGGCUCGAAAGCGUGGGGAGCAAACAGGAUUAGAUACCCCAGUAGUC